UGCAAACUCAAAUUCUAAAACGCAUGCAUAGGGCUAAUGCUUAGGAAGAAAACCGAGAAAAUCAGUCAUUAGAAUGUGCAUCGACUGUGGGCAAAUUAACUUUACCUCUGGAGCAGUUGAUAAGAUUUAAUAUAAACAUGAUAGAGGGGUUCAAACAGAUAAAAGAAGUAAACAGAAGAAGUUAUGUGAUACAUAUAAAAAGGAAACACAGAAGAAGUGGUUGGAAACUUCUAAAUGAUAAACAGUCAUUGGAGUGCACGUGCAUUGGAAGAUUUGAAUUGUGGCAUAGUUGAAGAGAAAAUGAGUAAUUUGCAAGAUUAUAAAAACGAGAAACAACACAGCAUAGAGAGGAAGGAGAAUAUCAUAUGAGCACGAACACAGGGGAGCUGGUGUAUUUGGUGGGGGAAAUUAGGUAGUUCUCCUUCUGUUGCUUCUGUUUGCUCAGUAAAAUUAGAGGUGAGAGUAUCGGCUGAACUGGAAGAGGGAGUGUUACAUCUCUGAGGUUAACAGAUAAGUUGUCUGUUUAGAGAUCAGAACAGUGAAUUAAGGAAAUAGAUGGAUUGCAGGUAGUACCGGUGGCCCACUUUAGCUUCACCCGGAUUUAGACCCGCUAAAAAAGUCUUGGUUCCCAAAUAGACACAUUGCAGGCAAAGAGUAAUAAGGAAAUUGAGUUAGAAAGACAAAAAUAAAGUAUCUGAAACACUUUCAAUUCACUGUGAUCGUAUCCUCUGAUUGAGAUUCUGUCUUUAAAAACCAGAUUGUCAAAUGAAAGUAUAGAGAAAAGAGAAGAAAAAUGGUCCAUGAGGAAAGAAGAAUGAAGAAGAGACAGCAUGGAUGCCGCAAUAGCACAUAUUUGACAGAUGCAGCGGCAAUAUGCUGCAAAUAGAAAGAGAAAAGGAUGAUUUAGAAGACAGAUCAGCUGAGUUCUUGGAGGAUCAAGUAGCCACCCACACCCCUUGGAACCUCACCCAGCUGAGUCUUCAGGGCUGCAGGGCAAUUCUUCCCGUAGCGGAGACCAAGGAACUCCCCUUGAAGGCUGCAUUUAUCUCCACGCCUUUGUCUUCCUCUGUAACCUGGGCCAGAAAACUCGAAGUCCCUGCAUCCCAGCCUCCUUUGGAACUCCGAGAUGGCCUCACGACACGCUUCUGGCCAAUGAGGCAAAAGAUUUCCCUUGGCAAAUAGAAUGGCGAUACCUCUCUCGAACACUGUCUUCUUGGAGAUUGUGCGGCUUUUUUUUUUUUUUUUUUUUUUCUACCUUGAACUUGGAUGAGGCACUGGAAGUGCAGCAGGCUCUUUUGACCUGAGCUAACAAUUCUGAGAAAGGAAGCUGUGUUGCCAGGGGCACCAGUGAACACCACCCCAGCCUUUCAUUGGCUGCCCACUGUUCCUUCUCCGGGUCGGAUAAAUGUACCUCUGCCGUGUAACCCGUACUAGGCUGCUGGUAUUGGAUUACACUUGGACUGACACAUU
rnacentral:lncRNA from 1 species